AUUAGCUAGUUGUAGGGUAAGGCCGUACCAAGGCGAUGAUGCAUAGCCGAGUUGAGAGACUGAUCGGCCACAUUGGGACUGAGACACGGCCCAAACUCCUACGGGAGGGCAGCAGUGGGGAAGUCUUCCACAAUGGACGCAAGUCUGAUGGAGCAACGCCGCGUGAGUGAAGAAGGGUUUCGGCUCGUAAAGCUCUGUUGUUGGUGAAGAAGGACAGGGGUAGUAACUGACCUUUGUUUGACGGUAAUCAAUUAGAAAGUCACGGCUAACUACGUGCCAGCAGCCGCGGUAAAU
rnacentral:rRNA from 1 species